AGAGUUUGAUCCUGGCUCAGAACGAACGCUGGCGGCAGGCCUAACACAUGCAAGUCGAACGCCCCGCAAGGGGAGUGGCAGACGGGUGAGUAACGCGUGGGAACAUACCCUUCGGUUCGGAAUAGCUCAGGGAAACUUGGAUUAAUACCGGAUACGUCCGCAAGGAGAAAGAUUUAUCGCCGAAGGAUUGGCCCGCGUCUGAUUAGCUAGUUGGUGAGGUAAUGGCCCACCAAGGCGACGAUCAGUAGCUGGUCUGAGAGGAUGAUCAGCCACAUUGGGACUGAGACACGGCCCAAACUCCUACGGGAGGCAGCAGUGGGGAAUAUUGGACAAUGGGCGAAAGCCUGAUCCAGCCAUGCCGCGUGAGUGAUGAAGGCCUUAGGGUUGUAAAGCUCUUUUACCUGGGAAGAUAAUGACGGUACCAGGAGAAUAAGCCCCGGCUAACUUCGUGCCAGCAGCCGCGGUAAUACGAAGGGGGCUAGCGUUGUUCGGAUUUACUGGGCGUAAAGCGCACGUAGGCGGAUUCUUAAGUCAGGGGUGAAAUCCCGGGGCUCAACCUCGGAACUGCCUUUGAUACUGGGAAUCUUGAGUUCGGGAGAGGUGAGUGGAACUGCGAGUGUAGAGGUGAAAUUCGUA
rnacentral:rRNA from 1 species